GAGUAAGGCUCCGGUAAAGCAUCGCUAGAUACCAGAUGUUGGAGGUGGAAAUUGGUGUACAGUUAUAUAAUUUCUGCAUCGAAGCCGACGCCAAACGCAUUACGCACGCGGAGACAUCUCUGAGCGACGCGGAAAAAAGUGCGCGUGCGCUCCAAAAAUCCACCAGGAAAGACGAAGAAGACGAAAAUUUGGCCAUCGAAGGACAAAUGUAUGGUGCUGGGAUUGCAGACUAACGAUUCAAAAGUGCACCAGUGGUGCUGCGUGCCGCGGAGCCCUGCAAGCAAAACAUGCCCCGGGAAGAUAGCUGUGGAACCGCCAUUUUGUUUUUUUUUUGCUGUAAAAAAAUUUGAUAAUAAAGUUUAAUGUAUGCCCGAUAACACCCUUAAAAGUUUUUUUUCAAUUACUUUCAAUUUUGGAAGCAAAAAAUUCGUGAAAAAACCUUUUUUUUUGGACCGUUACAGUGGCGUUAC